UAUUUGUCAUGUUUUUACCAAAGUGUGUGAUACUAUCAAUUCGAACUUGUAUAAAUAUGCCUUGAAAUAACGAUAUAGUCAUCUUCGCGACUUGACAUUGUGUGAGACAAGCUAAGUAGCUGCACGUCAACGGUUUCUCAGCAAAUAAACCUUCACUUAACAAAAUGAAAGUUGCAAUGAUCGCUCUCCUCUUGGUUGGACUGAUGAUGGUGGCGCUGCCACAGGAAGCAGAUGCAUGCACUGCAAGUCAAUGUGCGACAUGUGCCAACUUUAUCUCUGGUUUUGACGAAUCUGACUGUGGUAGAGGUGGUGCAGCCUGUGCGACCUGCGCAGAAAACAUGGCGAACUUCUUUUAGUGUUGACCAGAAAGAUGAAAUGAGAGUGUAUGACCUGAGAUUACCCAGUUUUAGAGUUGUAAACAACAACGGUGUCAUGGCCAUGAGAUAAUACAGCACACUAUCUAUACGUAGAGACAUUUAUUAUAGUAAUCUACAUAUCCAUAUUACAUAAAUAUAUAUUCAUUAGAUGUCAAUAAACAUUGAAGCAUCAAAUAC